rnacentral:rRNA from 1 species
UGCUACAGCCAUGCCACCCUGAACACGCCCGAUCCCUUCUGAUCUCUGCUGCUAAGCAGAGUCAGGCCUGGUUAGUAUUUGGAUGGGAGACCACCUAGGAAGACCGGGUGCUGUAGGCA